GCUGAACCGCUUCCCUCAGAGCUGCAGACACUUUGGCGACAACGGCAUCCAGUACCUGGCUGUUCUGAACCAAAAGUUCACUGACUGCUUUGUUUUGGUCUUUUUGGACACCCAAGCUGGAAAAACAAGUCUGAAGGUCGUGUUUCGGG